GACGAACGCUGGCGGCGCGCCUAACACAUGCAAGUCGAACGAGCGAGAGAGAGCUUGCUUUCUUGAGCGAGUGGCGAACGGGUGAGUAACGCGUGAGGAACCUGCCUCAAAGAGGGGGACAACAGUUGGAAACGACUGCUAAUACCGCAUAAGCCCACGGUGCCGCAUGGCACAGAGGGAAAAGGAGCAAUCCGCUUUGAGAUGGCCUCGCGUCCGAUUAGCUAGUUGGUGAGGUAACGGCCCACCAAGGCGACGAUCGGUAGCCGGACUGGGAGGUUGAACGGCCACAUUGGGACUGAGACACGGCCCAGACUCCUACGGGAGGCAGCAGUGGGGAAUAUUGCACAAUGGGGGAAAACCUGAUGCAGCGACGCCGCGUGGAGGAAGAAGGUCUUCGGAUUGUAAACUCCUGUUGUAGGGGAAGAUAAUGACGGUACCCAACAAGGAAGUGACGGCUAACUACGUG
rnacentral:rRNA from 1 species